AAGCUCUUUAGUUUAAUUAUAUCCCAGUUGUCAAUUUUAGCUUCUGUUGCCAUUGCUUUUGGUGUUUUAGUCAUGAAGUCUUUGCCCAUGCUUAGGUCCUGAAUGGUAUUGCUUAGGUUUUCCUCUAGGGUUUUUAUGGUUUUAAGUCUUACAUUUAAGUCUUUAAUCCAUCUUGAGUUAAUUUUUAUAUAACAAAGAAGGAAGACGACCA
rnacentral:lncRNA from 1 species